AUUAUUAUUAAUUAAUAUAUUAAUGCAUUAUUAACAAUAAUAAUUAACUGCUGACUUGCCAUUCCUACCAAUUCCGAUUUCAGCUCAUUCUGAUUCCAGUUUAGUAAACGCAACAUCAAUACUGACAACUUAAAUGAGAACCACAAAUUAACUGCUGGCUGGCCACCACGCACUCUUCGAAAAUGGUUCAAUUUUUCUGUAACCACUGGAGGAAUAAUAAGAAUUUUUUUUUUUCAAAUAGUUGCUAGAUCCAACUUACAUCUGGUUGGAAUCAUAUAUGAACUACACAACAAUAGAAUUAAUUUUGACGGAUUUUCGUGAUAUCCCUAUUAUUAUGCAUGAAUGACGAUAGUUAAAAAAAAAAAAAUUUUGAGUACUCUACAUGAUGCAUUAUAUGCACAGAAAUAAUAUUAUGUUUAAAUUUAUUUUUUAAUUGUUAAUUUGACAUUAAAAAUUAUGUUAAUCGGACUGAAAUUAUUCAGAUUUGCAUCCCAGCGAUGUACCAAAUUUUGCAUUUGCUAAGACCAAGCCCCAUGCUGUAGUUUUUUUUUAAAUGAUUAAAAAUAGUUUUUUAUGCCACUUUUGAUGAUAAAAAUGAAUGAUAGCUAGAGGUGGCUAACGGCCAUCAAAUGAAGGUUCAUGGCGUGUUGUGCUGUGCUAAAUUAGGGGUGGGCAUGGGGUGGUUUGGGUUAGAUUUUAAGUCAACUCAAAUCAAACCAUAAAAAUUAGGAUAAAACCCAAACCAAUCCAAAUAUUUUUAACCCAAACCAAACCAAACCAUUUGGGUUUGGUUUGAAUUUUAUUAUCAA
rnacentral:lncRNA from 1 species